GGUGCGGGGGAAGAGCCCCGCCUCAACCUUGCGUCACGUUCCGACGCCUCAGGCCUCGACUUGAGUCACGGGGUAAAAACAUGUCUUCCCCCAGCUGGUUGCUGCCAUCUUUGAGGCUCUAGGAGGAGCAGGACGGCGCCAUGUCGAACCCACAAACCCGUAUCAGCCAUUCUCCGUUCCCCCAGAAUAACAAAUGCCAGGGGACAGAGAAUGUGGUAGACUGGCCCUUCCUGCGUCCUUCUCCAGAAGGGGCUGAUCAGUCAACCGAGUCGUCCUACUGUGUGCUCAGAGCCCUUCAGGAUCAGCAAAGCUUGCUCUAGGAACAGGCUUUCCCUCGCAGAAAUCUCAGCACUGGGAGACAAGACAGUCGUUGACAAACUCACAGUGGGAUGAAGAAGGGCGCCCAUAUUUACCGAGCACCUAUUGUGCACCUCUGCUGUAUAUACCUUUGGAACAUCUCCAUUCGUCCUUACUUCAAUCACUUAAGGAAAGAUUAUUUUCACAAUUUUGCAAAUAGGGAACUGAGAGCAGUAAAGGUCAGUUGACCUAGCCCCAGCCUUCAAAUGAUAUCCAGAAUGUGACUUCUUACUAUGUUUGCCACUACCACCUGGUCUGAACCUCCAUCAUUUCUCAUCUGGAAUAUUUCAACCCUGGUGUCCUGUUCCCACCUCAUCCCAUCUGUUGUCAACACGGCAACAAGUAAUUCUAUAAAAAUGUCAAACCAUGUCAUUCUCCUGCUCAAAGUAUACUAUACUGUACUUCCCAAAGGUCAGAGUAAAAAUUAAGGCUUUACAAACAGAAGGUCCUUCCUCAUCUGACACCCAGAUACCUCUUUGACCUUAUGUCCUCCUAAUGUCCCAUCUGAUCAGUCUGCUCAAACUAUACAAGUUUUAAGAAAAGUGAAGGUGCACAUCUAAUUUAGUCCUUUGCACCUGUAUUUCUUUCUAUCUGGAAAGCUCUUCUCUCAGUGGCCUGUAUGGCCACUACCUCACUUUUCCCUGGUUUUGACUUAAAUGUGAUCUUUUCAGCAAGAAUGGCAUUCCCUAUUAAAACUGAAGUUCCCCUUCCUAUCAAUACUACACCCAACACUCACUUGCUGUCUCUCCUGUUUUUUCCUCUUUAUAUUGUUUAUUUGCUUAUUGUCCAUCUUCUCUGUUAGAAAGACAGCAGAGCAAGGAUUUUUGUCUGUUUCAUGCAUUGCUAUAUCCCGGAUCCCUGGAACAGUGUUGGGGCAUGCCAUUCAAAAUUGCCAGGUUUGAAGAUAAAGUUGCAACUAAGGACACAAGAAAAGUUAAGAGCACAAAAAUAGCAAGACACCUGUGAGGUCCCAGCCUUCUAAGACAAUGACUGAGAAGGCUACUCAGAUGCAAACAUAAGCUAUUUCUUAUGGAAAAGAAAGAAGACUCAGAAGAAACCUGUGGGCCAAGAGGGUGGUGUUGAGAUGCAGAGAACCCUUCCCAGGCAGCAGGAUUGGACCCUGAUAAAACAACUGGCAACAUGUGCCUAACUGGAUUUUAGAAUCACUAUGACCCAGUGGUAGCUAUGUCACUCCUGUUUCACCCUUUUUCAACAGAAAUAUCUACUUUGGUUAUCUUAUGCUUGUCAACUCUAUUGGGGUUGUGCAGAGCAGAAAACAUGUCUGUAGCUCACAGACCUUUCAGACCAAGAAGAACAGUACUCAAGAAGCUGUUCUUGAAGAAUCAUAGCUGAGGCUCCUCAUCUUUGCCUGGAACCAAUUUACAUGACAAGAUCCAUUAUGAGCAAUCAGGUGUUGAGAUGAGACGUUUAAGGUCCUUUGGAGGAGGUGAGUAUAUUUUGCACAUGGGAGAAAUAGAAAUAAUUUGUAUUCAGAAGGUGGACUAUGGUCGAUUCAGGAUAGUGGUAAAUUAUUUGCUCCUCCUUCCUUUGAGAUGUGGACUCUACUUCCAGUCCUUUUGAAUCUGGGUUGGUCUUACUGUCUUGUUUGACCAGUAGAAUGUAGUGGAAGUGAUACCUCGUGACUCCACUGCUAGGUCAUAAAAAGCCUUAGAACUUUCAUCUGGACUCUUUGAAGUACUCAGGCAGCAGGAGCUCCUCUGGAAAACCAGCCUCAUACCGUGAGAAGCCCAACCUGCAUAGGUAUUAUCAACAGCCCCAGGUAGGCCUGCAGUAUGCAGCCAGAGACGCUUUAAGCAAAAUGUGUGUCUCUGUGUGAGAUGUGUGGUCCUUCACUGGUCAGCCACACUGCAGCACCUUUCCUGGCCAGCACCCUCUCUUCUGUUCUUACAGAACGAGUUUCCUAGAACCUGCUAGGCUCCUGCCUUACCCCUGUGACACCGCUUACUUGAUGUCUGCUUACUCAUCUGCUUCUGAUGUAGAAGCUCCUCAAGGACGAGCACCUGCUCUGAUCUACCUCGAUGUCCCAGCAUCCCAGCACCCCUUUUGACACUUGACAAAUCUCACCAGAUGGCUAAACAAUUCAAAACAGAGUGAACUGUUGAAUUAUUCUGACAUGGCUUCGCAUGACUGAUGUCUUUUUGGGUUUGCCAUUUAAACAUGGCCAGUUCUGCUCAAGGGUUCCUCCCUUGGCAGUUUUAUUCACCCAGGACUCACUGGCUGGCUGUCCCUCUGUCCCGCCCUAGUCUUCCUCUCUUAGUACUUCCCCAGCCUGAGCCCCUGUGCCUUUGAGCAACUCCACUUGAGCUCUCUGGGCCUCAAUUUCCUCAUUCUCAGAUGGUAUGAGCAACCCCAACUCCCUGAAUUAUUGUGGGAAUCAGAUGUGAAAGUGAUUUACAAAGGGCCUCAUCACGCAUAGGGGAAUGACUGAAGUUACAUGUCAGUUGCUGGGUGAAGUAAAUCUCAGGGGUGGCUUCAGGUACUUUUCUGUUAGAUGUGUAAAGGAAACAAAGGUUGGUUCAUUCAUUCAUUCAAAAGUAAUCCAUCUUUAGCUGCCAGGACAACCCUAGGGACACAGAGAUGACCCAGCCACAGUCCCUGUGCUCCAGGAGGACCCAGCUGCGUACGUGUGUGGCUGGGGGAGCACCCACAAACAGACAGCCACACCUUCAACUAGAUUCUCUUCCUCUUUGCACAACUCUAGCCACAGGCUGCUUUCCAGAACCUUCCAGCACACAAGGCUGCAUUGUGGCCCUCACCCACAGCAAUCCUUUCAGGGCCAGGCCCUUGGCCAGUUCUAGGGCCAAUAACUCUCAAGUCUGGGUCUUUCCUGGGGUGGAAGGAAGCAAAUCUGUUGGAAGAAACAUUUUUUCCCAAUGGAAAUAGAACAAGAAAUGUCUAGAAUUGCUGGGGGACUCAUUGCCUGCCUCAGAGUAAAGCUAUGUAAAAACAGGAAAACAGAGAUGGCGAGGGCUACAUCUUAGUGAUAGAAUUUGGGACACUUCUAUCAAGUGAUAUCUGAAUGCACACACUCUCCCCUGACACCCCCACACCCCAUCCCGCCCCAGCCUUCAUCACAUGGUUAAUGGAAAGCCAGCCUCACCCAGGGGCCAGGCUCCGCAGCUUCAGGGCCCGGGUCCUACCUGACUGGGCCGAGGCUCUGACUCUCCUAGAGGCAGCCCAGAAGAGUCAGGGGGUACAGCCCAGGACCAAGGGGGGGUGUGAGCAUCCCCCUGGGCAAACUCUGACCUGUGGGACUUGGGAUUUGGGGAGGAGCCGAGAGGUAAAGUCUCUGCUUUCACCUUUCCCCUGUGAACUCCUCCAUAUGGCCUCCCUGGAGACAUCUUGUGGGACUAAAGUCAGAAUCAGCAAAUAAAAAUACUCAUAUUAAAA